AGUUUGAUUAUGGCUCAGAUUGAACGCUGGCGGGAUGCUUUACACAUGCAAGUCGAACGGCAGCACGGACUUCGGUCUGGUGGCGAGUGGCGAACGGGUGAGUAAUGUAUCGGAACGUGCCUAGUAGCGGGGGAUAACUACGCGAAAGGUAGCUAAUACCGCAUACGCCCUUCGGGGGAAGCGGGGGACCUCUGGCCUCUGCACUAUUAGAGCGGCUGAUAUCGGAUUAGCUAGUUGGUGGGGUAACGGCUCACCAAGGCGACGAUCCGUAGCUGGUUUGAGAGGACGACCAGCCACACUGGGACUGAGACACGGCCCAGACUCUCUACGGGAGGCAGCAGUGGGGAAUUUUGGACAAUGGGGGAAACCCUGAUCCAGCCAUCCCCGCGUGUGCGAUGAAGGCCUUCGGGUUGUAAAGCACUUUGGCAGUGAGGCGAAACGGCACGGGAUAAUACCCCGUGCAACUGACGGUACCUGCAGAAUAAGCACCGGCUAACUACGUGCCAGCAGCCGCGGUAAUACGUAGGGUGCAAGCGUUAAUCGGAAUUACUGGGCGUAAAAGCGUGGCAGGCGGUUCGGAAAGAAAGAUGUGAAAUCCCAGAGCUUAACUUUGGAACUGCAUUUUUAACUACCGAGCUAGAGUGUGUCAGAGGGAGGUGGAAUUCGCGUGUAGCAGUGAAAUGCGUAGAUAUGCGGAGGAACACCGAUGGCGAAGGCAGCCUCGAUAACACUGACGCUCAUGCACGAAAGCGUGGGGAGCAAACAGGAUUAGAUACCCUGGUAGUCCACGCCCUAAACGAUGUCAACUAGCUGUUGGGGCCUUCGCCUUGGUAGCGCAGCUAACGCGUGAAGUUGACCGCCUGGGGAGUACGGUCGCAAGAUUAAAACUCAAAGGAAUUGACGGGGACCCGCACAAGCGGUGGAUGAUGUGGAUUAAUUCGAUGCAACGCGAAAACCUUACCAAUUCUUGACAUGUCUGGAAUCCUGAAGAGAUUUGGGAGUGCUCGCAAGAGAACCGGAACACAGGUGCUGCAUGGCUGUCGUCAGCUCGUGUCGUGAGAUGUUGGGUUAAGUCCUGCAACGAGCGCAACCCUUGUCAUUAGCGAUACGAAAGGGCACUCUAUCGAGACUGCCGGUGACAAACUGGAGGAAGGUGGGGAUGACGUCAAGUCCUCAUGGCCCUUAUGGGUAGGGCUUCACACGUCAUACAAUGGUCGGGACAGAGGGUCGCCAACCCGCGAGGGGGAGCCAAUCCCAGAAACCCGAUCGUAGUCCGGAUCGCAGUCCGCAACUCGACUGCGUGAAGUCGGAAUCGCUAGUAAUCGCGGAUCAGCAUGUCGCGGUGAAUACGUUCCCGGGUCUUGCACACACCGCCCGUCACACCAUGGGAGUGGGUUUUACCAGAAGUAGUUAGCCUAACCGUAAGGAGGGCGAUCCCACGGUAGGAUUCAUGACUGGGGUGAAGUCGUAACAAGGUAA
rnacentral:rRNA from 1 species